rnacentral:rRNA from 1 species
AUUCCAGCUCCAAUAGCGUAUAUUUAAGUUGUUGCAGUUAAAAAGCUCGUAGUUGGAUUUUGGGUCGGGGGUACCGGUCCGGUGUUUCACUGUGCACUGGUCUCCCCUUCCUUUCUGCCGGGGACGGCGUUUGCUCUUUACUGAGCGGCGUCGGAGUCGGCGUUGUUACUUUGAAAAAAUUAGAGUGUUCAAAGCAAGCCAUCGCUCUGAAUACAUUAGCAUGGAAUAACAUGAUAGGACUCCGGUCUUAUUUUGUUGGUUUCCGAGACUGGAGUAAUGAUUAAGAGGGACAGUCGGGGGCAUCCGUAUUUCAUUGUCAGAGGUGAAAUUCUUGGAUUUAUGAAAGACGAACUUCUGCGAAAGCAUUUGCCAAGGAUGUUUUCAUCA